CGACCUGCACGAAUGGCGUAAUGAUGGCCAGGCUGUCUCCACCCGAGACUCAGUGAAAUUGAACUCGCUGUGAAGAUGCAGUGUACCCGCGGCAAGACGGAAAGACCCCGUGAACCUUUACUAUAGCUUGACACUGAACAUUGAGCCUUGAUGUGUAGGAUAGGUGGGAGGCUUUGAAGUGUGGACGCCAGUCUGCAUGGAGCCGACCUUGAAAUACCACCCUUUAAUGUUUGAUGUUCUAACGUAGGCCCCUUAUCGGGGUUGCGGACAGUGUCUGGUGGGUAGUUUGACUGGGGCGGUCUCCUCCUAAAGAGUAACGGAGGAGCACGAAGGUUGGCUAAUCCUGGUCGGACAUCAGGAGGUUAGUGCAAUGGCAUAAG
rnacentral:rRNA from 1 species